rnacentral:rRNA from 1 species
AUAAUACCCUAUAGGCUACCAAUGCUGGAAUGCCUGGUAGCCGAAAGUUCCGGCGCCUUAGGAUGGAUCUGCGGCCGAUUAGGUUGUUGUCGGGGUAACGGCCCAACAAGCCAGUAAUCGGUACGGGUUGUGGGAGCAAGAGCCCGGAGUUGGAUUCUGAGACACGAAUCCAGGCCCUACGGGGCGCAGCAGGCGCGAAAACUUUACAAUGCGGGCAACCGUGAUAAGGGAACCUCGAGUGCCUGUAUAUGCAGGCUGUCUGAGUGUCUAAGACACACUCAAAGAAAGGGCCGGGCAAGACCGGUGCCAGCCGCCGCGGUAAUACCGGCGGCUCGAGUGGUGGCCACUUUUAUUGGGCUUAAAGCGUUCGUAGCUGGGUUAUUAAGUCCCUUGGGAAAUCCGGCGGCUUAACCGUCGGGCGUCUAAGGGAUACUGGUAAUCUUGGAACCGGGAGAGGUGAGGGGUACUUCGGGGGUAGGAGUGAAAUCCUGUAAUCCUCGAGGGACCACCUGUGGCGAAGGCGCCUCACCAGAACGGCUUCGACAGUGAGGGACGAAAGCUGGGGGAGCAAACCGGAUUAGAUACCCGGGUAGUCCCAGCCGUAAACGAUGUGCGUUAGGUGU